rnacentral:rRNA from 1 species
GGGUUGUGAGGUUAAGCGAAUAAGCGUACACGGUGGAUGCCUAGGCAAUCAGAGGCGAUGAAGGACGUGCUAAUCUGCGAAAAGCGUCGGUAAGGUGAUAUGAACCGUUAUACCCGACGAUAUCCGAAUGGGGAAACCCAGUAUCCAAUGGAUACUAUCAUUAACUGAAUCCAUAGGUUAAUGAGGCGAACCGGGAGAACUGAAACAUCUCAGUACCCCGAGGAAAAGAAAUCAACCGAGAUUCCCCUAGUAGCGGCGAGCGAACGGGGAGCAGCCCAGAGUCUUAAUCAAUAGCAGUGUCAGGAGAACGGUCUGGAAAGUCCGGCAGUAAAGGGUGAUAGCCCCGUAUCUGAAGAUGCUGUUAUUGUGAACUCGACGAGUAGGGCGGGACACGUGUUAUCCUGUCUGAAUAUGGGGGGACCAUCCUCCAAGGCUAAAUACUCCUGAUUGACCGAUAGUGAACCAGUACCGUGAGGGAAAGGCGAAAAGAACCCCGGCGAGGGGAGUGAAAAAGAACCUGAAACCGUGUACGUACAAGCAGUAGGAGCCUCUUUAUGGGGUGACUGCGUACCUUUUGUAUAAUGGGUCAGCGACUUAUAUUCUGUAGCGAGGUUAACCGUAUAGGGGAGCCGUAGGGAAACCGAGUCUUAACUGGGCGAAUGAGUUGCAGGGUAUAGACCCGAAACCCGGUGAUCUAUCCAUGGGCAGGUUGAAGGUUGGGUAACACUAACUGGAGGACCGAACCGACUAAUGUUGAAAAAUUAGCGGAUGACUUGUGGAUGGGGGUGAAAGGCCAAUCAAACCGGGAGAUAGCUGGUUCUCCCCGAAAGCUAUUUAGGUAGCGCCUCGUGAACUCAUCUUCGGGGUAGAGCACUGUUUCGACUAGGGGGUCAUCCCGACUUACCAACUCGAUGCAAACUGCGAAUACCGAAGAAUGUUAUCACGGGAGACACACGGCGGGUGCUAACGUCCGUCGUGAAGAGGGAAACAACCCAGACCGCCAGCUAAGGUCCCAAAGUCAUGGUUAAGUGGGAAACGAAGUGGGAAGGCUCAGACAGCCAGGAUGUUGGCUUAGAAGCAGCCAUCAUUUAAAGAAAGCGUAAUAGCUCACUGGUCGAGUCGGCCCGCGCGGAAGAUGUAACGGGGCUAAACCAUGCACCGAAGCUGCGGCAGCGACACAAAGUGUUGUUGGGUAGGGGAGCGUUCUGUAAGCCUGCGAAGGUGUACUGUGAGGUAUGCUGGAGGUAUCAGAAGUGCGAAUGCUGACAUAAGUAACGAUAAUGCGGGUGAAAAACCCGCACGCCGGAAGACCAAGGGUUCCUGUCCAACGUUAAUCGGGGCAGGGUGAGUCGACCCCUAAGGCGAGGCUGAAAAGCGUAGUCGAUGGGAAACGGGUUAAUAUUCCCGUACUGGUGGUAACUGCGAUGGGGGAACGGAGAAGGCUAGGUUGUCCGGGCGACGGUCGUCCCGGUUCAAGCAGGUAGGCAGAGUGAUUAGGCAAAUCCGGUCACUUAAUGCUGAGAUGUGAUGACGAACCACCAAGGUGGUGAAGCAAUUGAUGCCCCGCUUCCAGGAAAAGCCUCUAAGCUUCAGGUUACCAACAAUCGUACCCCAAACCGACACAGGUGGUCAGGUAGAGAAUACUCAGGCGCUUGAGAGAACUCGGGUGAAGGAACUAGGCAAAAUGGUGCCGUAACUUCGGGAGAAGGCACGCUGGCGGUAGGUAAAGUCCCUCGCGGACGGCGCUGAAGCCAGUCGAAGAUACCAGCUGGCUGCAACUGUUUAUUAAAAACACAGCACUGUGCAAACACGAAAGUGGACGUAUACGGUGUGACGCCUGCCCGGUGCUGGAAGGUUAAUUGAUGGGGUCAGCCGCAAGGCGAAGCUCCUGAUCGAAGCCCCAGUAAACGGCGGCCGUAACUAUAACGGUCCUAAGGUAGCGAAAUUCCUUGUCGGGUAAGUUCCGACCUGCACGAAUGGCGUAAUGAUGGCCAGGCUGUCUCCACCCGAGACUCAGUGAAAUUGAACUCGCUGUGAAGAUGCAGUGUACCCGCGGCAAGACGGAAAGACCCCGUGAACCUUUACUAUAGCUUGACACUGAACAUUGAGCCUUGAUGUGUAGGAUAGGUGGGAGGCUUUGAAGUGUGGACGCCAGUCUGCAUGGAGCCAACCUUGAAAUACCACCCUUUAACGUUUGAUGUUCUAACCUAGGCCCAUAAACUGGGUCGGGGACCGUGUCUGGUGGGUAGUUUGACUGGGGCGGUCUCCUCCUAAAGAGUAACGGAGGAGCACGAAGGUUGGCUAAGCAUGGUCGGACAUCAUGCGGUUAGUGCAAAGGCAUAAGCCAGCUUGACUGCGAGAGUGACGGCUCGAGCAGGUACGAAAGUAGGUCUUAGUGAUCCGGUGGUUCUGAAUGGAAGGGCCAUCGCUCAACGGAUAAAAGGUACUCCGGGGAUAACAGGCUGAUACCGCCCAAGAGUUCAUAUCGACGGCGGUGUUUGGCACCUCGAUGUCGGCUCAUCACAUCCUGGGGCUGAAGUAGGUCCCAAGGGUAUGGCUGUUCGCCAUUUAAAGUGGUACGCGAGCUGGGUUUAGAACGUCGUGAGACAGUUCGGUCCCUAUCUGCCGUGGGCGUUGGAAGAUUGAGAGGGGUUGCUCCUAGUACGAGAGGACCGGAGUGAACGCACCACUGGUGUUCGGGUUGUCAUGCCAAUGGCAUUGCCCGGUAGCUAAGUGCGGAAGAGAUAACCGCUGAAAGCAUCUAAGCGGGAAACUUGCCUCGAGAUGAGUCUUCCCUGUCGCUUUAAGCGACCUAAAGGAACGUUUAAGACUAAGACGUUGAUAGGCUGGGUGUGUAAGCGUAGUGAUACGUUGAGCUAACCAGUACUAAUGAACCGUGAGGCUUAACCUGACAACACCGAAAGUGUUUUG